CGAAUCCUACGGGAGGCAGCAGUGGGGAAUAUUGGACAAUGGGGGGAACCCUGAUCCAGCGACGCCGCGUGAGUGAAGAAGUAUUUCGGUAUGUAAAGCUCUAUCAGCAGGGAAGAAAGAAAUGACGGUACCUGACUAAGAAGCCCCGGCUAACUACGUGCCAGCAGCCGCGGUAAUACGUAGGGGGCAAGCGUUAUCCGGAUUUACUGGGUGUAAAGGGAGCGUAGACGGCAAUGCAAGUCUGGAGUGAAAGGCGGGGGCCCAACCCCCGGCCUGCUCUGGAAACUGUAUAGCUGGAGUGCAGG
rnacentral:rRNA from 1 species